rnacentral:rRNA from 1 species
CCCUUAGACGUUCUGGGCCGCACGCGCGCUACACUGACACAGGCAACGAGCUUUCCUUUACCGAAAGGUAUGGGUAAUCUUUUGAAACUGUGUCGUGCUGGGGAUAGAUCCUUGCAAUUUUUGAUCUUAAGCGAGGAAUUCCUAGUAAGCGCGAGUCAUCAACUCGCGUUGAUUACGUCCCUGCCCUUUGUACACACCGCCCGUCGCUACUACCGAUUGAAUGGCUUAGUGAGGCCUCAGGAUCCGCGCUUAAUGUGUGGAGAAUUUGGACAAACUACGUCAUUUAGAGGAAGUAAAAGUCGUAACA